AACGAUCCUAGCUUGCUAGGAGGCGUCGAGCGGCGGACGGGUGAGUAAUGCAUAGGAAUCUACCCAGUCGUGGGGGAUAACCUGAGGAAACUCAGGCUAAUACCGCAUACGUCCUACGGGAGAAAGCGGGGGCUCUUCGGACCUCGCGCGAUUGGAUGAGCCUAUGUCGGAUUAGCUUGUUGGUAAGGUAACGGCUUACCAAGGCGACGAUCCGUAGCUGGUCUGAGAGGAUGAUCAGCCACACCGGGACUGAGACACGGCCCGGACUCCUACGGGAGGCAGCAGUGGGGAAUAUUGGACAAUGGGCGAAAGCCUGAUCCAGCCAUGCCGCGUGUGUGAAGAAGGCUUUCGGGUUGUAAAGCACUUUCAGCGAGGAAGAAAGCGUGCCGGCCAAUACCCGGUACGGACGACAUCACUCGCAGAAGAAGCACCGGCUAACUCCGUGCCAGCAGCCGCGGUAAUACGGAGGGUGCAAGCGUUAAUCGGAAUUACUGGGCGUAAAGCGCGCGUAGGCGGCGUGUCACGCCGGGUGUGAAAGCCCCGGGCUCAACCUGGGAACGGCAUCCGGAACGGGCAGGCUAGAGUGCAGGAGAGGAAGGUAGAAUUCCCGGUGUAGCGGUGAAAUGCGUAGAGAUCGGGAGGAAUACCAGUGGCGAAGGCGGCCUUCUGGACUGACACUGACGCUGAGGUGCGAAAGCGUGGGUAGCAAACAGGAUUAGAUACCCUGGUAGUCCACGCCGUAACGAUGUCGACUAGCCGUUGGGUCCCUUGAGGACUUAGUGGCGCAGUUAACGCGAUAAGUCGACCGCCUGGGGAGUACGGCCGCAAGGUUAAAACUCAAAUGAAUUGACGGGGGGCCCGCACAAGCGGUGGAGCAUGUG
rnacentral:rRNA from 1 species